CCUACGGGAGGCAGCAGUAGGGAAUAUUGCUCAAUGGGGGAAACCCUGAAGCAGCAACGCCGCGUGGAGGAUGAAGGUUUUAGGAUUGUAAACUCCUUUUGUUAGAGAAGAUUAUGACGGUAUCUAACGAAUAAGCACCGGCUAACUCCUUGCCAGCAGCCGCGGUAAUACGGAGGGUGCCAGCGUUACUCGGGAUCACUGGGCGUAAAGAGUGCGUAGGCGGGGUAAUAAGUCAGAUGUGAACUCCUGUAGCUUAACUACAGAACUGCAUUUGAAACUGUUACUCUGGAGUGUGGGAGAGGUAGGUGGAAUUAGUGGUGUAGGGGUAAAAUGCGUAGAGAUCAAGAGGAAUACUCAUUGCGAAGGCGACCUGCUGGAACAUUACUGACGCUGAUGCACGAAAGCGUGGGGAGCAAACAGGAUUAGAGACCCUGGUAGUC
rnacentral:rRNA from 1 species